GUAAUGAAGUUCGUCCUCAUUAACUAGUUUUCCUAUUUUAAAAUUGAACGGAUAUUGAUUAUUAGUGACACCAAUAGGUUAAUUGGUGACAAGAGGAUAAUAUGUAAUUGAGGUUGGCUCUUUUUUACAUAUAAGCUCCGCAAACAAAUUCCAGAGCCUACACCAACGCAUUUUUCUUUACGAUAAUUAUGCCAGUGGCUCAACCGUCGAUGACAGGAUGAAGGGAUUAUAGAUAUCAGGAUUUGUAUCCGGAGUCGCAGAUAAGGUUGGUCGUAUAUAUAGCAAGCACCUGAAUUCAUUACUGGAUUCCUCUCCUUCACAAAAAUAUACUCAUACACAGCUUUAAAAGGUAAACGAAAUUCAAUUUUACCAGGAAAAAUUGCAAAAAUAUAAUUGAAAAUCCUCGGUUUUAUACAUUUAUCAACAAAGCGGACCUCUUCAGCAAAGCUCAUUCAGAAAUGGACUCAAAAGGACAAGGCGAAGAUAGUCAAGCUCAGGACAAUCGGGCGAAUCAACAGAAUCCAAACCACGAGAAAACUGGGCCUGGACAUGAUUCGAGAUAUGGAGGAACAGCCGAUAAAGCGGACAAAGACAACCAUUCGAAUCAACUAAACCCCAACAAUGACCGCUUCCAACCGAAGCAGUAACAAAAGAUUAAUUUUCCAAAUUAUGCAAACGAUUAAAACUUGUCAUAUUGGCGUAUUUUUAAAGAACGACAUAAUAAACGACAACUUGCAUUCCAUAUUUAGUUAA